AACUUUUUAUGACUGAAAUCACACUUAUAUUUAGUAUCCCCCUUGUUGAUGUUUCCCAUAUAUGAUGGGAUGCAUGAUAGCAGGAGGGAACAUUUUUGACCAUCUCUACUACUCACACUCACUGAUGGAAUCAUUUGUAAGCUACUCUGGAUCUAACACUUCAAGCAGCAACAACAGACAUUUCAAUCAAUUGAUAUUUUCUGUGAAAAAUCAAUAGGAAAAAACAUCCUCUUUUCACAAGAAGGUGAAAAUUACUUAGUGCAUUGUAGCUCAAACUGGAUUAUAAACCUGUAGAAAAAUGUUCAAAAUAUGAAACGUAUUUGUUAAAACGUCCCCUGACAGACUCUUCAACAAGGCAAAUGAAAUCAUAAAAAUAUGUUUUGAAUGAACCAGAUUGAGAGUAAGACCUGGAGACUUUGUUUGGCCCUGGAUUUUAAUCUGUCUUUCCAUAAUUGAGUUUUGAGUUUGAGUUUUGUCUUCAUUGUGCUCUGUCAAACACAAAGGGAAUCUACAGUUUCACAUCACAUGGAGGGACCACUGCACUGGCCUACCAGACACAGGCCCAGGAGCCCAUGGGGUCAGAGCCACAGCUUGGUCUAACUGUUGUGAACGUUUCUUGUUCGAAAGUUAAAGGGCUCAGUCAAAACUCUGUCUUUUUCCUCAGGCUCACUCCAUCUUUUUGAACUCCCCUUUCUCUCUGUGGUAACAGUCCCAGGGGGUCAGUUAUUGACUGAUGCUGUACCACAAUCACAAAACAGAACAGACAGCAACCUACGCUGCCUUGAUCACAACAUCAAGAGAGACAUCUUGAAGCAUCUUCGCUGACAGCUUAUGAUCGUCUGACUUCAAAAUCCCACUGUGGGUAGUGUCUACCCACAGUGUUUCUAAAAGGAACAGGAGGAAACAGUUUUUAGUUCCUAACUCUUGAAAUGUGAAACCAAAUAAAGCUUAUUUGGACGUAAAAGCUUAUAUAAACACUCUCUCAGCCCACACGUGCAGACUUGUGAAUGGAACGGCUCACAAUGUGGGGAGAGAUAGAAUACAUGAUUGGCUGGUAGAAUUCUGAGCAUAGUUUUCGAUUUCAUGUGGGAAAUGGAAAUAAAAACAACCAAGAACAGACCUCUCUCAAGAGGAAGUUUGUGUACUUUUAGAUGUGUUCUACAUAAUUCAUUUGCAAUGCAGGACAACAUCAAUUAUGCACA